AGCAGCCGCGGUAAUUCCAGCUCCAAUAGCGUAUAUUAAAGUUGUUGCAGUUAAAAAGCUCGUAGUUGAAUUUCGGGGUUAGCAGGUCGGUCGUGCCAUCGGUAUGAACUGGUCUCGCUGAUCCCUCCCUCUUGACGAACUGUGAUGCCAUUAAUUUGGUGUCGCAGGGAAUCAGGACUGUUACUUUGAAAAAAUUAGAGUGUUUAAAGCAGGCUCACGCUUGAAUACAUUAGCAUGGAAUAAUGAAAUAGGACGUUUGAUCCUAUUUUGUUGGUUUCUAGGAUUGACGCAAUGAUUAAUAGGGAUAGUUGGGGGCAUUAGUAUUCAAUUGUCAGAGGUGAAAUUCUUGGAUUUAUUGAAGACUAACUACUGCGAAAGCAUUUGCCAAGGAUGUUUUCAUUAAUCUAAGAACGAAAGUUAGGGGAUCGAAGACGAUCAGAUACCGUCGUAGUCUUAACCAUAAACUAUGCCGACUACGGGAUCGGAUGAUGUUAAUUUUUAAUGUAACUCG
rnacentral:rRNA from 1 species